CUAUGUGGUUACUUUGCGAAGUGUGUCUCGCUGUACUCGCGUCAGCGUUAGCGUCAGCGACAGCGCGUCAGCUGCAGUCGCUGCGGCAGCGUUACAGGUUGUCUAGGUAACCACGGGAGUUGUCGCUGAUUGGUGACAUCCGAGAGACAGGUGUUCGUCUGGCAGUUGAAGCACCUGAGGACGCUGCUGAGCCCUCAGGUGAGGAGUUGCGUGCCUCUUCCCUCCCCCGCCAGCCUUAACGUUCCCAGAGAAGUGGGGGGAACUGAAAUCUCACGAUGGUUCCCCAUCUGUAAAAUAUGCAUAAUCAUCUCUGUCUCAGCGUUAUGAAGUAAAAGGACAAUGCAUAUUGAGCAUCUAUCAAACUGCCUAGUCUAUGGAAAGAUCUUGUUAAAGGAGGGAAGUACCUAGUGAAGAACCGUUGAGGACCAGGUGGUGGACAGAGGUGGAAGAGAAUAGUCGACUGGGAGAUGAUCACUUCAAAAUUGGACAUCUGAGCAGAUGGAGCUGCAAAGGUGACCUGCAUGGCUUGGUCCCAGAACAAUGCCAAGUUUGCGGUCUGCACAAUGGACCCAGUGGUGUUGCUAUACGAUGACAUGGGGAGCGGAGAGACAAAUUCCCCACCAAACCAGCUACCUUGAAGUAUGGCAGGAAGAGCUAUAUGGUGAAGGGCAUGGCUUUUUCUCCCGAUUCCACUAAAAUUGCCAUAGGACAGACCGACAGCAUCAUCUGUGUGUACAAGAUAGGCGAAGAUUGGGGUGACAAGAAAGUCAUCUGUAAGAAAUUCAUCCAGACGCUGAGAGGAUGGAGGAUGGUGCUGCGUGGCUGCCCCUCCUCCUUGCUUUCCUCCGUGAGCCUGGCUGUGUCCUCUUCUCCGCUUAGGCGACUGGGGCGAUGGCAAGUGGCAGGGGUUCAGUUUGUUAUAAGUGCGCUGGGCGACAUGGACAGGGUUAUCCUUUUCAUGAUUUCCUCCUUGCAGAGUGCUGUCACCUGUCUGCAGUGGCCAGCAGAGCGGCACAUCAUUGUUUUUGGACUGGCUGAAGGGAAGGAUGGAGCUGCAAAGGUGACUUGCAUGGCUUGGUCCCAGAACAAUGCCAAGUUUGCGGUGUGCACAGUGUACCGAGUGGUGGUGCUAUAUGAUGAACACGGGGAGCGGAGAGAUAAAUUCUCCACCAAACCAGCUGACAUGAAGGGGAAGUCGGUUAUCCACCCAUGCCCGCCCUAUGCCUUGGCUUGGGCAACCAACAGCAUCGUGGCUGCAGGCUGUGAUCGCAGAAUUGUAGCCUAUGGAAAGGAAGGCCACGUGCUACAAACUUUUGAUUACAACCGUGAACCUCAGGAGCGGGAGUUCACCACCGCUGCUGCAAGCCCUGGGGGCCAGUCUGUUGUGUUGGGAAGUUAUGACAGACUUCGGGUACUCAACUGGAGCCCUCAAAGAAGCAUCUGGGAAUAGGCAAAGCGCAAGGAGAUUGCCAACGUAUAUACCGUCACUGCCUUGGCCUGGAAACGGGAUGGCUCAUGACUCUGUGCGGGCACACUCUGGUGGAGUGAAACAGUUUGACUGCUGCCUCCGGAGAAGCAUUUACAAGAAUGAGUUUGAGUUGACAUGUGUGGGACCUAGCCAGAGUGUCCGCACAGGAGCAGGGGAACGCCAGAGGGAGAGGGAGCACAAGCUGGAUGAUGAUAUGAUCCGCCUGGUAGGGAAGCACCACCCAGAUCUCCUCAGUGACACACACCUACGCCUGGGCAAGGAGCUGGAGGCUGAAGGCCGACUGCAGGAGGCCGAGUAUCACUACCUCGAGGCUCAGGAGUGGACGGCAACAGUGAACAUGGACCGGUCCAAUGGGCUUUGGCAGGAGGCCUACCGGGUAAGGAGUCCAGGACACUCUGUGGACACGCCCGUCCCUCUUCCCCACUCUCAAGUGACGCAUUCUGAACUGGUCGUGGGUCUCUUUGAAA